rnacentral:rRNA from 1 species
ACAGAGGGGGCAAGCGUUGUUCGGAAUUACUGGGCGUAAAGGGCGCGUAGGCGGCCUGUUAAGUCGAACGUGAAAUCCCCGGGCUCAACCCGGGAACUGCGUCCGAUACUGGCAGGCUUGAAUCCGGGAGAGGGAUGCGGAAUUCCAGGUGUAGCGGUGAAAUGCGUAGAUAUCAGGAGGAACACCGGUGGCGAAGGCGCACAUCUGGCCCGAUACUGACGCUGAAGCGCGAAAGCUAGGGGAGCAAACGGGA